GAGUUUGAUUCUGGCUCAGGACGAACGCUGGCGGCGUGCAUAACACAUGCAAGUUGAACGAGAAUUUGGCUGCGGAUCUUUUCGGAGGGAAGCGGACGAAGGAAAGUAGCGAACGGGUGAGUAACGCGUAAGGAACCUGCCUCUCACAGGGGGAUAGCAGCUGGAAACGGCUAUUAAUACCCCAUGGUACCGGAGCAUCGCAUGAUGAACCGGUGAAAGAGAUAUCGGUGAGAGAUGGCCUUGCGUCUGAUUAGCUGGUUGGUGAGGUAACGGCUCACCAAGGCGACGAUCAGUAGCCGGCCUGAGAGGGUGAACGGCCACAUUGGGACUGAGACACGGCCCAAACUCCUACGGGAGGCAGCAGUGGGGAAUUUUGCACAAUGGGGGAAACCCUGACCCAGCGACGCCGCGUGAAGGAAGAAGGUCUUCGGAUUGUAAAGUUCUGUCCUGGGUGAAGAAAAAGACGGUAAUCCAGGAGGAAGCCCCGGCUAACUACGUGCCAGCAGCCGCGGUAAUACGUAGGGGGCGAGCGUUGUCCGGAAUUAUUGGGCGUAAAGGGUGCGUAGGCGGUUUUUUAAGUUUGUCGUGAAAGCCCGGGGCUUAACCCCGGUAAGCGAUGAAAACUGGAAGACUUGAGUGAUGGAGAGGAACGUGGAAUUCCUGGUGUAGCGGUGAAAUGCGUAGAGAUCAGGAGGAAUACCAGUGGCGAAGGCGACGUUCUGGACAUUAACUGACGCUGAGGCACGAAAGCGUGGGGAGCAAACAGGAUUAGAUACCCUGGUAGUCCACGCCGUAAACGAUGAGUGCUAGGUGCUGGGUGUCAAAGCUCGGUGCCGCCGUUAACACAGUAAGCACUCCGCCUGGGGAGUACGCACGCAAGUGUGAAACUCAAAGGAAUUGACGGGGACCCGCACAAGCAGCGGAGCAUGUGGUUUAAUUCGAAGCAACGCGAAGAACCUUACCAGGGCUUGACAUGACAGUGAAGGGUCUAGAGAUAGACCGUUCUCUUCGGAGACACUGCCACAGGUGGUGCAUGGUUGUCGUCAGCUCGUGUCGUGAGAUGUUGGGUUAAGUCCCGCAACGAGCGCAACCCCUAUCAUUAGUUGCCAGCAUUGAGUUGGGGACUCUAAUGAGACUGCCGGUGAUAAACCGGAGGAAGGUGGGGAUGACGUCAAAUCAUCAUGCCCUUUAUGUCCUGGGCUACACACGUGCUACAAUGGUCGGAAACAAAGUGCAGCAAGCCAGUGAUGGCAAGCGAAUCACAGAAAGCCGAUCUCAGUUCGGAUUGUAGGCUGCAACUCGCCUACAUGAAGUCGGAGUUGCUAGUAAUCGCGAAUCAGCAUGUCGCGGUGAAUGCGUUCCCGGGUCUUGUACACACCGCCCGUCACACCAUGGGAGUUGGCAAUACCCGAAGCCGUUGAGCGAACCGUAAGG
rnacentral:rRNA from 1 species